UAAAUAGCAACGCGCACUUUGGUGCUGCGGUCUGCUUCUUAGAGGGACUGUCGAUGUUUAAUCGACGGAAGUUUGAGGCAAUAACAGGUCUGUGAUGCCCUUAGAUGUUCUGGGCCGCACGCGCGCUACACUGAUCAAGUCAGCGAGUGUAUCACCUUGGCCGGAAGGUC
rnacentral:rRNA from 1 species